GACGUAGGGGGCCAGCGUUGUUCGGAAUUACUGGGUGUAAAGGGUUCGUAGGCGGUGCGGCAAGUCGGGAGUGAAAUCUCUGGGCUUAACCCAGAGGCUGCUUCCGAAACUGCUGUGCUUGAGUGUGGGAGAGGCGCGUGGAAUUGCAGGUGUAGCGGUGAAAUGCGCAGAUAUCAGGAAGAACACCCGUGGCGAAAGCGGCUCUCUGGAACGGUACUGACGCUGAGACGCGAAAGCGUGGGGAGCGAACAGG
rnacentral:rRNA from 1 species